rnacentral:rRNA from 1 species
GACGAACGCUGGCGGCGUGCUUAACACAUGCAAGUCGAACGGAAAGGCCCUGCUUGCAGGGUACUCGAGUGGCGAACGGGUGAGUAACACGUGGGUGAUCUGCCCUGCACUUCGGGAUAAGCCUGGGAAACUGGGUCUAAUACCGGAUAGGAGCCAUUUUUAGUGUGAUGGUUGGAAAGCUUUUUCGGUGUAGGAUGAGCUCGCGGCCUAUCAGCUUGUUGGUGGGGUAAUGGCCUACCAAGGCGGCGACGGGUAGCCGGCCUGAGAGGGUGGACGGCCACAUUGGGACUGAGAUACGGCCCAGACUCCUACGGGGGGAAGAAGUGGGGAAGAUUGCACAAUGGGCGCAAGCCUGAUGCAGCGACGCCGCGUGGGGGAUGACGGCCUUCGGGUUGUAAACUCCUUUCGCUAGGGACGAAGCUUUUUGUGACGGUACCUAGAGAAGAAGCACCGGCUAACUACGUG